rnacentral:RNase_P_RNA from 2 species
CCCGCAAAACGUUCUAUCGCUGCCAGCUUGUUUGGCGGAGGAAAGUCCGGGCAACAUAGAGCAUCCUGCUUCCUAACGGGAAGGCGCCGGCAGCCGGCGACAGCAAAGUGCCACAGAGAAAAUACCGCCCGCUUAGGUGGGUAAGGGUGAAAACGUGAGGUAAGAGCUCACGGCAUAACCGGGCGACCGGCUAUGACGGUAAACCUCAGGAGUUGAAAAACCAAAUAGGUCCUGAAAGCGGAGUUGCUCGCUCCCGUAUCUGCCGCAAGGUAGGUCGUUAGGAUGGGUAGGUUGUUUAAACCUGUUAGUGAUAACAGGGCCAGAUAAAUGAUAGAAGUUGCCCUUUAAAAAGGCAAAACAGAACCCGGCUUAUAGGUUUGCUGCUGUA